AUUGAACGCUGGCGGCAUGCUUUACACAUGCAAGUCGAACGGUAACAGGCCUUCGGGUGCUGACGAGUGGCGAACGGGUGAGUAAUGCAUCGGAACGUACCCAGAGGUGGGGGAUAACGCAGCGAAAGCUGUGCUAAUACCGCAUGUGAUCUGAGGAUGAAAGCGGGGGACCGAGCAGCAAUGUUUGGCCUCGCGCCUUUGGAGCGGCCGACGUCGGAUUAGCUAGUUGGUGGGGUAAAGGCCUACCAAGGCGACGAUCCGUAGCUGGUCUGAGAGGACGACCAGCCACACUGGGACUGAGACACGGCCCAGACUCCUACGGGAGGCAGCAGUGGGGAAUUUUGGACAAUGGGCGCAAGCCUGAUCCAGCAAUGCCGCGUGCGGGAAGAAGGCCUUCGGGUUGUAAACCGCUUUUGGCAGGAACGAAACGGUGUCCGCUAAUACCGGGCGCUAAUGACGGUACCUGCAGAAUAAGCACCGGCUAACUACGUG
rnacentral:rRNA from 1 species